ACGGAAGGCAGCAGUGAGGAAUAUUGGUCAAUGGGCGGAAGCCUGAACUAGCCAUGCCGCGUGAAGGAAUGAGGCCCUAUGGGUCGUAAACUUCUUUUGACGGGGAGCAAUAAGGCGCACGUGUGCGCCGAUGAGAGUACUCGUCGAAUAAGCAUCGGCUAACUCCGUGCCAGCAGCCGCGGUAAUACGGAGGAUGCAAGCGUUAUCCGGAUUUAUUGGGUUUAAAGGGUGCGUAGGCGGGUCGUCAAGUCAGCGGUGAAAUCCCGGAGCCUAACUCCGGAACUGCCGUUGAUACUGGCGGUCUUGAAUUCGGAUGCCGUGGGAGGAAUGAGUAGUGUAGCGGUGAAAUGCAUAGAUAUUACUCAGAACACCGAUUGCGAAGGCAUCUCACGAAUCCGACAUUGACGCUGAGGCACGAAAGCGUGGGGAUCAAACAGGAUUAGAUACCCUGGUA
rnacentral:rRNA from 1 species